UACAGAGGGUGCAAGCGUUGCUCGGAAUCAUUGGGCGUAAAGGGCAAGUAGGUGGUCUCAUCUGUCUUGUGUGAAAUCCAUGGGCUUAACCUGAGGAGUGCGCAAGAAACGGUGAGACUCGAGUUUCGGAGAGGGUCGUGGAAUUCCCGGUGUAGCGGCGAAAUGCGUAGAGAUCGGGAGGAACACCAGUGGCGAAGGCGGCGACCUGGACGAAUACUGACACUCAACUGCGAAAGCGUGGGGAGCAAACAGG
rnacentral:rRNA from 1 species